rnacentral:rRNA from 1 species
UAUUAGAGGCACCGCCUGCCCAGUGACACAUGUUCAACGGCCGCGGUACCCUGACCGUGCAAAGGUAGCAUAAUCAUUUGUUCUCCAAUUAAGGACUUGCAUGAAAGGCCUAACGAGGAUUUUACUGUCUCCUACUUCCAAUCAAUGAAAUUGACCCCCCCGUGAAGAGGCAGGGAUAACCCUAUAAGACGAGAAGACCCUACGGAACUUUAAUUAACCAGCCUAAUCAUAACCCAUACAAACCUAGCAGGGACAACUUUCCAUGACCUAGGCUAACAAUUUCGGUUGGGGCGACCUCGGAGUACAAAAAACCCUCCGAAUGACCAUGCACCCAGACUUCACCAGUCAACGUGCCUCGAUAUCAACUCAAUUGACCCAAGUAAUUGAUCAACGGAACAAGCUACCCUAGGGAUAACAGCGCAAUCCUAUUUCAGAGUCCAUAUCGACAAUAGGGUUUACGACCUCGAUGUUGGAUCAGGACAUCCCAGUAGUGUA